rnacentral:piRNA from 1 species
ACUUGGAGCACUGCUCGCCCUCGCCCUU